CGAGCACUUGUUUUUCUGAAAUAUUGUAGGAGUGUCAAAUAUUUUAAGAGCAAAGCCAGCAGUUUUUGUAGUUUGAGUUAUUUCCCUGUCAAAAGUAUAGACAGUAUACUGUAUAUACCAGCAUAUAAGAUAACCCUUGAAACUGAAAAUAGCAAAGCAAAAAUGGGGGGCGGGGUGCUCUUAUACUCCUGACAUAUAUAAACAGCCCAAAAUACUGACCUCAUAUGUGAAUUGCCUUAUAUGCCAAUAUAUACAAGUAUUUUUCUGAAACAUGCAUCCUGGUUCCUUGUUUCACAUGUUAUUACCAUAUAUAUCAGUGUAUAAAAUGGCCCUUGAAACCAAAAAUAAUGAAGCAAAAAUGGGGGUCAUCUUAUAUGCUUAACAUGAGACAAACACCAGAAAAACAGCCCAAAAUAUUAACUUUGUCUUAUAUGUGAGUUGCCUUAUAGGUUGGUAUAUAUGGUACAUUGUUUCAUAGUGAUCAAGAUCAUUCUACAUUUUGAGAUUUUGCUAACGAAAGUUUCAGGAAAAGCCAUCGUACUGAUUUUAAUGGGAGUUCUGGUUCCAUUUCAUCCAGGUCUUAUCUUCAGCACAUAUUUUGAGUCUCAGAGCUUUUAGAAAACUGUAUGAGGAGUAGUUUUUGUGUGUAGUUGAACUUCAGUCCAGAAAAAUAAAAUUAAAAAUUAACUUUAAUGAUACUCUCUUAAUGUAGUUCCUCCUGUCUGCAAGUUGAAAGUAAACAAGAUUUUAAAACUUUGGUGGCGAUGCAUAACGUUGCAGGUGAAGGAGCAGGCAAAUCAUCUGCUGCCACAAGAACUGAGCCAAAAUGUACCCCCUCCACAAGCAAAUCCACCUCAGCCACCGUUCAGCAAAUUUCCUCCGGCUCUCCUAAAAAACAUUAAGGAGAAAAGGAAGCACACUGAGGCAAAAAAUCCCAAAUGGGCCAAAAAGCUGGGCAAGGAAAGGCCUGAGAAGAAAGGGAGACACCAUUCACCAAGCACCUUAGUCUCAGGAACCUCACCCAUACAUCCAGUGACUCCAACAGCAGCUUCAAUGCCAGCCUCACCUCCAACUUGACCAUCACCAAUUUGGUCCAUACUGAUUACUCCGAUUCAAGCAGAGCCUCCAUCCCAACAGGAUCAGCACCAGGUCCAAACAGAGACCGCUCUACCUACAUUCUUCUCAGAGGGAGAAACCCGAGAUUCUCCAGGUUCCUAAUUCAACCUCUGUCUCCGGAAUGAUCUGCACCAAUCCCAAGAAGAGAGGUUCAGCUACCGAUCUCUCCAACUUGACUGUACAGUUCAGUGUCUCCAAACUUGUCUCCAGAAUCAACCCAUCAUUCUGUCCAUACCAUCAAACUGUACUACUACCCAUAAUGAAGAGACAUAUACUGGCCACCACCAUAUACUGGACAUUACUGACCCAGUAUCUGUGGGACCCAGCAAUCCCACCAUAUGGAUACCCAGGGCCACCUACUGGACCCGACCUACCUAUCCAAGAUACCAUCAAUGCCAAGAUAAGAACCAGCCUCACAGGCCGCCCCAGCACUUCCCCCUACAACACAGUGCAAACCAAGGAAUAUGAUUCACCAUCGCCAACACACAGCUCCUCCUCCUCUCAUAUGGACUAUGCCUCAGAGUCUGAUUCACAGCUGGAGAUAUAGGAAGCAUGGAAAGUAUUGCCAGGAGAGAGUUUGGGCUGAUUUUCUAAACAGGUCCUUCAUAUGGCCACAUUACUGGGAAUUUAGGCCCAGCAAAUCACUGAACCUGAAGCAUCAUGGUGCAUGAUAUGAUCAGUGUAUGGAGGACUCUGCUCCGGUUGCCCUUUCUCUCAUCCCUGCACUGCAAGAGCCAUGGGAGCUGCCAAAUCAACCCCAUCCCACUUCACGACACCUAGAGAGGAUGUCUAGAGUGCAGGAACGGGACAUUCCCUUUCUAUUACACCAUCCACAGCCAGAUUCAGUGAUUGUUGAGGCCAGGCAAGGUUGCCAGCAAUGUGAACAUUCUUUACAGAUGGCUCAUGAGGGAUGCCACCUUGACAUGGCCUGCCCUAUUUAUUCUGCUAUGGGACUUGGCCACAAGGCCAUGAUGGGGAGAUAUUAAGUCUCCCUUUGCAGAAAAUUGAGUCUUUGGCUGCUUUUCUCCCUGACCAACAGUGAUCAGCCAAAGUCUUCAUCGGAGAAGUGAUACAGUUAUCAAACAACAGCGAUGGCACAGCAUCAUGUCAACGACAACUCCUGAGGACUCGUUGAUGCAAUCACUGUGUGCAGACACACAUGGCUACAGCUGGUAAACCUCCCACAAGAAACCCAGUCAAGGACCAAAAGUAUGGCUUUCAACAGGCAAGAUCUGUUCCUCUCAAGGACUGAUGCAUGCCUCGACACAUUACAAAAAGCCGGAAUGAUGGCACGACAGAUGCAGAGUGCUCACUUUCUAUAGGUCCCAUACAGAAUUUUUCUAGAAGAACAAGAGACUUUUUGUGAGAUAUGCAGACAGCUCCUAAGGUGAACUGGUCACCUUGCGACAUUUGUCACACUGGAUAGUGGAAACUUUCAAAUUCAUGUACCAGUUGGCGAAGCUUGACUUAUUGGACUAUCCAAGAGCCCACUCCACCAGAGCAGUAUAGACAUCUACAAUGCUACACAUACCACACCAUCAACGUUUGUAUGCCACUACUAACUGGUUGUCAAAGCUAGACAAGACUGCUCCUACAGCCAAGCCAUCCUCUCUGCCAUUCUACAAUGACACCUCCUACCUCCUAUAUCAAUUCCGUUGUGUUUCCUGCCUCUGGUGGGAGGCCCAGCGCAUCAUUUCUCCUGGAGGAACUCCCACCACCAGUCCAUAUUUUGGAUUGAUAACCUUCCGAGCCACAGUGGAGGAGGAAAAUCCCAGUUUCCCGAUGCCUUGACGGAAAGGGCAUGGAAUAUUUAGCUCCUUGUAGAGACUGACCUCCUCUGAAAUGGCAUAGAGCUCACGAAAUUCAAUAUCAAACAUCUCCACAUGUUGUCCGGUCAAGUACAAGAUAAUGUUUCUGUCUAUGUGGGAUGAUGUCCAUGUGAAACUAUACAACAAAAGAUGCUGUUAGUGAAUUGCAAUGUGAAACACCUAGUUUUUCACACCUAGGUUCUUGCCAUUCAAGAAUAUUGAGAUUGUUACUAGCUUAUCCAAGUACUCUGUGAAUUUUCCAUUUCUUAUUUGUACAACCAUAUAGCAGAAAAAGCCUUGCAAGUUUAGGUGUGUGACAUUCAAAGCAAUGAGCCCAAUACAGCCAACUUCACUGCUAAGAGCAUUCAGGAAGGAAGGGGACACAAAACUGCAGUGUCUAUAUAUGUCCUUUUAUGAAUUUACUGUGAAGGCCUUUACGUGGACUACUUUGGACAAACUAUAAUUAAAUUCACUGUUAUUGAUAAGUCAAAAUCCCUUUAGCAUAAUGAGCUCCAUUAGGUUUUUGAGUCAAUAAGGGUUUUUAAGCUAUAAAAGCUAAGAUUAUUUUGGUACAUUUAUGUGAAGAAGUGUCCCCAUUUAACACUGGAAGUGGGGAACUCAUGGGAUGAUGAAAAUUGUAGUCUAAAACAGCUGAAUGGCUAACCCUGAACUACAAGUAUAUACACAUAAGCCUUUUACCUAGUGAAGUGCAGAAAGUGGGGACAUGGCAUUGUGCCUUUUCAGUGGUAUCGCUCAGACUAUGCAACGCUUUGCCCUGGGAAAUUCACUAUACUCUAUCUCUUGGUGCUUUUAGGUAGAAAGUGAAACCCACUGCACACAUUCUGUAAUACUGGCUAAUGCUGUUCUGGUUUUGUUUUUAGCUGAAUUUAUAUUGCAUUGGUUUUUGUUUUGAUGAAAGUUUUUAUGUAUUGUAUGUGGAUUUUAAAAUUAUUUUAAAUGGAUUGUUAUGUAAUUGCAAACAACACUGUGAGACCUCCAAGGUGGUAUACAUGGUAUACUUAACAUGGUAAACUUAACGGAGGCAGCUCUUUGCAAUUUUGGGGCCCAGCACACAUUUAGCAGGCGUGCAUAUCAAAAUUUCCCCUUUUAAAAGGGAUAUCCUGUUUAACCUCUGUUCCAGCCCUCUCCAAAACUCAUGCUACAUUUCACGUUCAUAAAUGGACAGCUGCCCAUGAAGGAGGAGAUCAAUUAGCUCCCUAAUGGACAACUUGCAGUAAGGGGCUUCUUCUCCCACCAAGCAGCACAGAUAUGUAGCAUACUAUUCUGGAGGUAGAUAGUAAUCUCUUCUUCCAUAGGCAGUUCAGUAGCAGAACUUGGCCAUGCUCUAUCUGCCCCAACAGUAAUUUCCUCUGAGCAGUGGUGAAAUGGGGGCAAGCUGAUGGGCUAGACAUAGAGACCCCACCCCUGGCCUAAUUAAAUUUAUUGAACAGAUGUGUAUUUUCCUCAAGAUGGUAUACUAUGUUUGUAAAACCUACAAACAGAGCAAAAGCUUAUUAAAAUAUAUCAAAAUACUUUAAAGGCAGCAGCAAAACUUUAAGACCUGUUAAAAGUUAUAAUGUCAAAGCACUAGAAAUAGGAGCAGAUAAAGCAUUCCUGCAUUAAAAUCCCUUAAAAUAUUUGUAAUGAUGUGCACAGAAUAAAAUUUAAAGUUUGGCCCAAUAAAACUAUUUUAUCUCAUACCUAAAACUAACUGGAGUAGGCACAAAGCACAUGGACCUAAGGACAGCAUUUCCAAAGAAAGUGACCUCCACUGAAAAGGCCAUGUCGCUUUUUACUACCUACCCAAUUUGGAGGUUGGGGGAGGAAACAGAAAAGUUCUUAAGAUACAAGUAAAGUUCAUAUUGAAGUAGUUGGUCACUGACUUAUGAUGAUCAUUUCCCUCACAUAGGUCCUAUGUGCUUUUUUUGUCACACUAGUUCUCCAAAACCAACUUGUCAACAGAGAGAUUAAAGCUCACUGGUAAAACGUGUGCUGCAAACAUAUGGGGAGUCAUACUGGAUUAGACCAAAUAUCCACUUAGUUCAGAAUUUUUUUCCCCCAGAGUCAACCAGUUUCCCACCCUCCUGCUUAUGUUUAUUCAUCAACUGGUAUCCUGCGACAUAGUGUUUUAAAAGGGUUCUAUACUUAAAAAGUGCCUUUAAAAUCAUUUUAAAUUAAUUAAUUAAAUUACAGCUUUGAACACUGAGGACAAUCUAUAGCCAUCUUGACUUGUAACCAUUGAUAGCCUUCUUCAUGAGCCAUAAUGGGUUUCAGGUCCCAUCCCCAACACAAUGGAAGAUUAAACAGCAAUACCAGGAAAGACUAUGACAAGCUAUCAUAGUACCCUUUGGAUGCUGAUGGACUCUAGGUCUUAUCAACAUCUGCCAGCAAGGUUAAUAGUCAGGGAUGAUAGGAACUGAGCCCAGUAUCUGGCAGAUACGAGGCUGGCUAUCUCUGCCUUACCCUAAGUGUUCAAAGAGCCACUGACAGACUACAAUGAGAGGGAGAGGGAGAGGGAAACUGACCUGUAGGAUCCUGUAAGAACUUUAUCACCAUCCACCAUCAGGAAACGGGAGGCCAAAUUACCUUUAAUCUUCCCUGAUGGCAUAUAGAACCCAACUCCAGUCACAGAACGCACACGGAUAUUCUGAUAGGAAAAAAAAGAUGCAUUAUACACAAAGAAGUCAUAUGUAAGUUGUACUCCAAAAUAUCUGGGGAGGAGGCAUGAGGUUGAAGAAUCUGUCUUAAGUGAAUGAUCUUGCCAGAACAAACAGAAUAUAUAAGUACUUUUGACACAGCACAUAUUGACCAUAUUAAAAAUUUACACCUUUGUUUGGUCUCCUCUUCAUGUAUGGAUAUAUAUUAUUUGUCAAUGAAUCUACGAGAAAAAUCAAGAGAUUGACAGUGCUAUCCUAUACAUGUCUGCUCAAAAGAAAUGGGUAAAUUUGGCAGAUCCAGCUUUUAUAAUCUUAAGACUGGAUUUAUCCAGCUGCAUUUCCUCCACCCACUUCAGAGCUGGUGUACAACAUGCAAGAACUGUUGGGAAGGAAAAAUAAAUUGUCCUGUUUCUGGCA